rnacentral:rRNA from 1 species
AUGGCAGACCAGCAGCAAGACGAAGUGGGGCCGGCGUCGGCCUUGGCGUGGAGCAAGGGAAGCAGAGCUCCUGCUAGGGCGAUGGCGGCGAGCAGGCAACGAAACUUGGCCGAUGCGGAGCAGAGCAGCGGCGAGGAGGAGAAGGGAGCAGGGGCAUCCCGGAUGUGGAGUGGCGCCUGGUCGCCGGCGAGGUGGUCGUCCGGCCGAGGAGACGAACGCAGGGUCGUGCGCUGUUGCGGGGUGCUCGUCUCCCAUGCGGCUCGGGCGUGA